rnacentral:rRNA from 1 species
UGGGGGAUAUUGCGCAAUGGGCGAAAGCCUGACGCAGCGACGCCGCGUGGGUGAUGAAGGCCUUCGGGUCGUAAAGCCCUGUCGAGGGGAACGAAACGGUUUCGACCUAACACGUCGGGGCCCUGACGGUACCCCUAAAGGAAGCACCGGCUAACUCCGUGCCAGCAGCCGCGGUAAUACGGAGGGUGCGAGCGUUGUUCGGAAUCACUGGGCGUAAAGGGCGUGUAGGCGGUCCGCUAAGUCUGAUGUGAAAGCCCGGGGCUCACCCCCGGAAGGGCAUUGGAAACUGACGGACUCGAGUCCCGGAGAGGAGAGUGGAAUUCCUGGUGUAGCGGUGAAAUGCGUAGAUAUCAGGAGGAACACCGGUGGCGAAGGCGGCUCUCUGGACGGUGACUGACGCUGAGACGCGAAAGCGUGGGGAGCAAACAGGAUUAGAUACCCCCGUAGUCC